AGUUUAUACAAAUUAUCUAUAAAUCUUGUAACAAGGUGGAUUAAUCUACCAUGCCUUGUCGCACCACGGCUAUAGAUAGCCUAUCUACAGCCGUGCCUUGUAUAUUAUCCACCUUAGAUUAUAUACUUAUUAUCGUCUAAAUUUAUUUAGACACUCUGUUAUGAUCAAAAUUAUUCGCGUAAUAGUUAGGGCACAUGGACUAGUAUAGAGGCGCCGUUGUAUAUCUUGAUAGUGUUGUUAGUUUGAAACCGUC